rnacentral:rRNA from 1 species
UACGAAGGGGGCUAGCGUUGCUCGGAAUUACUGGGCGUAAAGGGAGCGUAGGCGGACAUUUAAGUCAGGGGUGAAAUCCCGGGGCUCAACCUCGGAAUUGCCUUUGAUACUGUGUGUCUUGAGUAUGAGAGAGGUGUGUGGAACUCCGAGUGUAGAGGUGAAAUGCGUAGAUAUUCGGAAGAACACCAGUGGCGAAGGCGACACACUGGCUCAUUACUGACGCUGAGGCUCGAAAGCGUGGGGAGCAAACAGGAUUAGAUACCCCCGUAGU